CAGGCCUAACACAUGCAAGUCGAACGCCCCGCAAGGGGAGUGGCAGACGGGUGAGUAACACGUGGGGACGUACCCUUUGGUUCGGAACAACCCUGGGAAACUAGGGCUAAUACCGGAUACGCGCGAGAGCGGAAAGGUUUACCGCCGAAGGAUCGGCCCGCGUCUGAUUAGCUAGUUGGUGAGGUAACGGCUCACCAAGGCGACGAUCAGUAGCUGGUCUGAGAGGAUGAUCAGCCACAUUGGGACUGAGACACGGCCCAAACUCCUACGGGAGGCAGCAGUGGGGAAUAUUGGACAAUGGGCGCAAGCCUGAUCCAGCCAUGCCGCGUGAGUGAUGAAGGCCUUAGGGUUGUAAAGCUCUUUUGUCCGGGACGAUAAUGACGGUACCGGAAGAAUAAGCCCCGGCUAACUUCGUGCCAGCAGCCGCGGUAAU
rnacentral:rRNA from 1 species